UACGUAGGAGACAAGCGUUGUCCGGAAUUACUGGGUGUAAAGCGCGUGUAGGCGGUAGGCCAAGUCUGCUGUGAAAUCGCCCGGCUCAACUGGGCGCGGUCGGUGGAAACUGGUCAACUGGAGGACGGUAGAGGCGAGUGGAAUUCCCGGUGUAGUGGUGAAAUGCGUAGAGAUCGGGAAGAACAUCGGUGGCGAAAGCGCUCUGCUGGACUGCAACUGACACUCAGGGACGAAAGCUAGGGGAGCGAAUGGG
rnacentral:rRNA from 1 species